AUGACACUAACACUGUCGAUGCUUGUAGAAAAACCAGAGCUGCGGAAGUUCCCGUGCCUGCCGUAUGGGGGCAGCAAUGACACAAGUGUCCUGUCACAAGUCCAGCUGCUGGAGUCCGGCAGAGAAAAAGCCCGGAGCCUCCCUCAGAUUGACCUUACCACCUCAGGGUUCAACAUAGACAGUGCCUGGAUGAGCUGGGUCCGCCAGGCUCCCGGGCAGGGGCUGGAGCGGGUAUCAGCAAUUAAUGGAGCAACUACGCAGUAUGGAAAUUCUGUGAAAAGGCGAUUCACCACCUAUACAGACAGGUCCAAGAAGCUGAUUUACCUACAAAGGACUGGCCUGAAGCCCGAGGACACCGCCCAGUAUCACUGUGCCAGACACAGUGAGGCGAAGCUGGUCUGA